CCUACGGGAGGCAGCAGUGGGGAAUCUUCCGCAAUGGACGAAAGUCUGACGGAGCAACGCCGCGUGAACGAUGAAGGUCUUCGGAUUGUAAAGUUCUGUGAUCCGGGACGAAGGCAUCAAUUGAGAAUAUUGAUUGAUGUUGACGGUACCGGAAAAGCAAGCCACGGCUAACUACGUGCCAGCAGCCGCGGUAAUACGUAGGUGGCAAGCGUUGUCCGGAAUUAUUGGGCGUAAAGCGCGCGCAGGCGGCCGUGCAAGUCCAUCUUAAAAGCGUGGGGCUUAACCCCAUGAGGGGAUGGAAACUGCAGGGCUGGAGUGUCGGAGGGGAAAGUGGAAUUCCUAGUGUAGCGGUGAAAUGCGUAGAGAUUAGGAAGAACACCGGUGGCGAAGGCGACUUUCUAGACGACAACUGACGCUGAGGCGC
rnacentral:rRNA from 1 species